rnacentral:rRNA from 1 species
CACGUAGGGGGCAAGCGUUGUCCGGAUUUAUUGGGCGUAAAGAGCUCGUAGGCGGCUCAGUAAGUCAGGUGUGAAACCUCCAGGCUCAACCUGGAGACGCCACCUGAUACUGCUGUGGCUAGAGUCCGGUAGGGGAGCGUGGAAUUCCUGGUGUAGCGGUGAAAUGCGCAGAUAUCUGGAGGAACACCGGUGGCGAAGGCGGCAUCCUGGACCGAUAUUGACGCUGAGGAGCGAAAGCCAGGGGAGCAAACGGG